rnacentral:lncRNA from 1 species
GGAGGUGAGCGGAGAGUGGGAGUAUGACUCUUUUCCUGAGCUGCGUGUCCCGACUACCUUUAUCAAUGGUAAGUGAACUACUUCAUUCUUGUCCUCCUUGAAUUUUUGUUGAGCUGCUUCAUGACUUCAAUUUAUUGAUCGUCUUUCUUAUUUUGCAUAGAUUCGGAGUUUGGCUCAACUCCAAGGACUUCGAAAGAUAUGAAGAAAGUGUACGUCGCCUUGGGCAUUCAUGUUGAGUACCGUGAGUGGUGCUGG